rnacentral:rRNA from 1 species
AUGAAGCGCUUGACGGAGAAGAAGCCGUUCUCCUCCCUUGGUGUACGCCACCACCGACGGCGUCGUCCGCUGGCCCUCGGCGUUGGUGAUCACCGUCGGCUUACCGCCCUCCAUCGCCGCGACGGCGGAGUUGGUGGUGCCCAGGUCGAUUCCCACCACCUUCUCGCACGUCACCCGCAUCGCCAACCCGCGCGGCCUCCCGCCACGAGCAACCCGCAUCUGCAGGGGCAUGACCGCCGGCCGCCGCCGGCUCACGAAGAGAGAGCACGACGGGGAGGCGCCAGCCAUCGCGCUGACCUGGGAAGUGAAGGUAGCCAUGGCGCGGGUUCGUUACGUAAACCCUAA